rnacentral:rRNA from 1 species
GUGUCAGCAGCCGCGGUAAGACGAACCGUGCGAACGUUGUUCGGAAUCACUGGGCUUAAAGGGCGCGUAGGCGGUCUGCCAAGUCAGGGGUGAAAUCUUUCGGCUCAACCGGAAAAGUGCUUCUGAUACUGGCAGGCUGGAGGCAGGUAGGGGCAUGUGGAACUUCCGGUGGAGCGGUGAAAUGCGUAGAUAUCGGAAGGAACGCCGGUGGCGAAAGCGACAUGCUGGACCUGUCCUGACGCUGAUGCGCGAAAGCCAGGGGAGCAAACGGGAUUAGAUACCCCCGUAGUCC